rnacentral:rRNA from 1 species
AACGAACGCUGGCGGCAGGCUUAACACAUGCAAGUCGAACGCCCCGCAAGGGGAGUGGCAGACGGGUGAGUAACGCGUGGGAAUCUACCCAGUCCUUCGGAACAACACAGGGAAACUUGUGCUAAUACCGGAUACGCCCUACGGGAGAAAGAUUUAUCGGGAUUGGAUGAGCCCGCGUUGGAUUAGCUAGUUGGUGAGGUAAAAGCUCACCAAGGCGACGAUCCAUAGCUGGUCUGAGAGGAUGAUCAGCCACACUGGGACUGAGACACGGCCCAGACUCCUACGGGAGGCAGCAGUGGGGAAUAUUGGACAAUGGGCGCAAGCCUGAUCCAGCCAUGCCGCGUGAGUGAUGAAGGCCUUAGGGUUGUAAAGCUCUUUCAGUGGGGACGAUAAUGACGGUACCCACAGAAGAAGCCCCGGCUAACUUCGUG